UCUCAGUCCUGGAACUUGCUCUGUAGACUAAGGUUGGGGGCAAACUCAAGAGAUCCUCCUGCCUCUACCUCCUGAGACUACCACUCAAUAUAGGAGCCAAUAUUUGAAAGCAGAGGACAUCUUAGAGAACCAACAUUAGACAUGGAAAUGAAGAAAUGUAGUCCAUCUCAGAAAACCAUCAAGCUUCUGUCUGUCAACUGCAGUUCUAACUUCUGAAGGCCUAGGUUACAGAAAUUGUCAACUGCAAUCCUUAAACAUCUGAUGCGUACAUACUUAAAUCUUUAGUUUUACACAAAGUCUUCUCGUAGGUUAAACUACCUGGCUAAAUGCAGGUAGGGCAGAUAUCAUCCUAGCUGAGUCACAGACAAUCUAAAUGUUUAUGAAGGUAGGCACAAGGAGAACAUAAACUGAAUAGACCUCAGGUAAUAGCAGAAGCAUUUUAAACUAUAAUAUGGCACAAGCUCCCUCGUGUUAGUGGCUUUAAUAAGCAAGGGAUGAUUCACUUGUUUAGAUUAUUUGAAAUACAACUUUAUUCUGAUUCUAAACGAAAAGAAUGGGAAUGACAGUAACAAACAAGAUUUCCCCACUGGAUAUUGCGAUGGGACUGCAGCAGUCUUAUCUUUGAAAUUCAGAAAGGAAACAACUCUGUUCAAACAGCUAAAUAUGCAAGUCCAAAAAAUGAAGGUAUGUUUAACUGCCACAUUCACUCGAAGCCCAUUCAUCUCCUUCAGCAUCCCAAUGAAGUACACGAUCUGCUUAGCUAAAUAAGGUGGCACACGCGCUGCACCGCUGACAUCACAGGACAGUUGCCUAUAAAACUAGACUUCUGACGCAGGGCUCCAGCUUCACUUUCUCACAGGUCAUCAUCCUCAUCUGGGAGAGCAGUCGUCUGAGCAACCUCUAAAUCAUGCUCGUACUGUGCUGCCAAAGCUGGGUCCAUGACCACCUCAGGUGGGGCAAGAGCAGGCAUGGCAACAAACUCCAAGUUAGGAUCUCCAAUGAGCUUUCUGGCAAGCCAGAGGAAAGGCUUUUCAAAGUUGUAGUUACUUUUGGCAGAAAUGUCAUAGUACUGAAGAUUCUUCUUCCGGUGGAAGACAAUAGAUUUUGCCUUCACUUUCCUGUCUUUAAUAUCCACUUUGUUGCCACACAAUACAAUGGGGAUGUUUUCACACACUUGUACCAGAUCUCUAUGCCAGUUAGGUACAUUCUUGUAAGUAACUCUUGAGGUUACAUCAAACAUUAUAAUGGCACACUGGGCUUGGAUGUAGUAGCCAUCGCGCAGGCCCCCGAACUUCUCCUGGCCGGCUGUGUCCCACACGUUGAACUUGAUGGGUCCUCUGUUAGUAUGGAAGAGGAGCGGGUGUACCUCCACGCCCAGGGUGGCUACAUACUUCUUCUCAAACUCGCCCGUCAAGUGGCGCUUCACGAAGGUUGUCUUCCUGGUGCUGCCGUCGCCCACCAGGACGAGCUUGAACUGGACCUGCGGCUCUCCCUGGGCGGCCAUCGCAGCGGAUCCUUCCAGAAGAGUCUCCACGCCUGUCUUAUUUUUACUUUUUAUAGUCCAC
rnacentral:lncRNA from 1 species